rnacentral:lncRNA from 1 species
CAAAUUGACUCUUUUGUCCUUUCCCACGGAUGCCUUUUAUCAUUUUAUUCCCCAGGGAGGUGGCUCUUGUCAAUAAACAAGCAGCAGAAAAGAAAAAGGCCAACCUCAUAGUCCUCUCAUCCUUGGAUGACUCAUCUGACAAGAAACCCAAAGGAAACACCCACAUCAAAACUACGCUUUUAAGGAAGGAAAGGGAUAUAGAAGAGAGACUAGAAGAGAAACGGAAGCUUCGUCUCCAAUCCAUUUCCUCAACUCAAAGCCCCCCGUCUAACUAUUCUCUGGACCUGAAAAGCCCCUAUGGGAUCCAGUAUGUUUCUAGUGCCAGCGAGCACGGCACCAGUAGGUCCAGAUCCUCACAGGAAGAGGUGCUCUUCAGGCUCUCACCGUCCUCCAUGGAAUGAGCUCACCCAAGAACAGGCGUGGACUGCAGAGGUGAUCAAAAACAGAAUCAGCAACGGCAAGUGAGAGCACUACCGCAGCCAGGAACAUGCGGUGUCUUCCCCAGUCCACGGGCUAAAGAACAUUAAAGUUCGAGUCUGCCACAAACGAGCAGGGCUUAAAGACGCCCUGGGUCACCUCACCCAUUUAGACAUUUCCUAAUUCAUUCUUUCAUUCAUUUAUUAACAAUAACAACACAAUACAGCCCAUCCUUAUGAAACAUAGCAAGACCUCAUCUCAAAGAACAACCAACCAGGAAGCAUUAGAAAGGAGCUGAGCGGCUGAGUGUAGUGGCCCAUGUCUUUAGUCCCAGCACUAAGGAGGCAGAGGCAGGUGGAUCCCUUAAGUACAAGGCCAGUCUCUUCCACAGACAGAGUUCCAGGACAGCCAGGGCUACACAGAGAAACUCUCUCUAAAAAAAAAAAAACCAAAAACAACAAAACAAAACAAAACCCCAUCUGACUCCAAACUGACUGAACUGAAGGUGAAUUUUAUGUUUCACACAGCCUGCUAAGGACGAGGAGAGAUGGCUUGGGGGGGGGUGUGCUAGUGGAGAGAAUGACACGAUGCCCCGGGAAGCUUGUAGGGGUGUCUUCACUGUCCUGAGGGUAAUGAGAGGUCCACAGUCUUAUACUAUGCCUUAAAGGCAUGGAUAUUCUUGUGUUAACUACACCACAGGCUGUUUCCAAAAUGCAUGUGAUAUCUGAGCCCGAUGGUGGAUGCCAGUAAUCACCGCACUCAGGAGGUGGGACAAGGACGAACAGGAGUUCAAGGCCAGCCUCCUGCACAUUAUUGUAAGAAAAAAAGCUUUUUUAUUUAGACAAAAAGGGAAAGGUGUUAGGGGUUGGUCCGUGCUAUGUAUUCUUAUGCUAAUUACUGGCCACCUGUCUCUGUUGUGUAAACCUUGCUCUGCCUAAUUUAAAGUUGAUUGGUUAAUAAAAAUGCUGAAGCCUGUGACUGGGCA